CGAGCAGGCCAGACGGUCGCGGCGGCGCAAGCCGUCGAGGAAAGUCCGGACUACGCAGGGCAGGGAAAGGGGUAACACCCCUCCGCCGCGAGGCGAGGCCAGCGCCACAGUGACGAUCCGUCGCAAGGCGGGUGAAACGGGCAAGCGCUUCCCGUAGCAAGGCGAUGUAAGGGGGCGAUGGUGUGGCCCGCACCGUCCCCGGGUACGCCGCUAGAGGCGGAGGGUGACCUCCGUCCGAGAGGGAUGACCGUCCUCGACAGGAUCCGGCUUAGCGGCCUGCUCGGUCU
rfam:Chloroflexi bacterium 13_1_20CM_2_70_9 13_1_20cm_2_scaffold_2053, whole genome shotgun sequence.